AGCUUUGCACAGUGGCAGUAUUAUAGCCAAUGGGCUUUAUCCGAGGCAUGAUUAUUGUUAAUUGAAAACUCUUCCGCAUACCCUGCCAUGAUGACUUGAAAUGCAGUCAGCAUUGGCCAUUUUUGACAGUCUCUACAGAGA
rnacentral:snRNA from 1 species